CCAGUAUCAGGACUCCCCCCUCCCCCUCCUCCACCUACAAUCAGCUCCGGUGGUUCAGUCCCACCUCCUCCAUUUCCUGGACGUUAACAUAGUUACUUCCUGUCUGUUGAGUUACAAAAAUAAAAAACCUGUCGAUGAACGAGCAAAUAAAUAUUUUUAAAGCUUUGGACUCAACCUUGUUUGGUUUGUUUGAUCUGAAGGGAACAGACGUCUGCAAGUCCCGACAGCGCCGCUGCAUUCCUGGAGAACACGAGCUGAAACACCCGACCCCUGAACUCCUGCGCUCCCUAGUUUACAUCUUAUUUUAAACAUGAUAAAAAUCCCAUCCGUGCAUUUGCUGCUAAAUAAACUGUUUUAGAGACGGCCGCUGCUCUGCUACUGCCAGCGCUUUAUCUCCAGGCUGUAAAGUGUUUGAGAGCAAAGACUCAUUCGUAGCACACGGCUGUUAGAGAAGGUGUGGUCAAAAACAAUCAGUCAUGCUCUUUUACUUCACUCUUUCGAUUCCUGCCUAUUUAGGAUGCGUGGCUCUGUUUAUUUUGUGGUGCCAUCUUAUGAAAAGACGCAGAGAAGCUGCAGAACCGUCCAACGCUCUCGGCGUCCCUCCACCGGUUUACAUCGUCCCGAUUUAUGAUCUGGAUCAGGACUUCAACCAACCAUCUUCUGACUCGGAUUCAGCAAAUGUCUCUCUUCCUCCUCCUUACAUGACUCUCCCACCUUCGUACUCUGAACUUCCUCCGUCGUAUGCGGACCCGCCGCCGUACAGCGAGCGCCAGUGACCCUCCUCUUCCUCCAUUUAUGAGAUCAAACUUUUCAAAUGCUGCUAAAACACGGCAGAAUUAUGCAAUCCAAUCACAGCAGGUGAUAAAAAUAUGUUGCAUCAGUAUUUGUUUAUCUAAAAUGGGUCAUGAGACUGAUACCCGCAUUCUGGAUUGGGUGACAUGUUUGUUAUAGCGUUUCAUGGAAAAGCACUUUGAUAAAUUAAAAAAUAAUAAACGUUUAUCAAUAAAUGUGUGUAGAGGAGGAAGUUCAAUGUCGAAAAUAAGCAUGAAAUAAAUGUAUUUAUUUUUUCACAAUAAAAGUCUUUGUGCUCAUAAAUAUUUUGUGUUUUAUUUAAAAAAAUCUAACAAUUUUUUUUUUUUUUUGCUAAAGAUGAGUCAUUUUGAAAACCAAAAUUCUGCUUUUUAAAAAGAAAAGCAUAGAAAGUUUGAUUCCUUAUACUGUUUUUAUGAAUAAAUCAUUAAAAAAGCAAUUUUUGAACCGAUUCUCAUUUACAUAAAACACAUUUGAAAACAAGAUUUUAAAUAAAUGAUGAUACAUUUGUAGCUUCUUACAUUUUAUGCUCUUAAACAUCAUCUGAUGAGCCAAAAAUUAACAUUUUAAGUACUGGAUUUGUGUCAAAUAUUGACAUGUUUGUUAUGGUUUGAAUUUUAAGGAAAAGCACUUUAAUAAA
rnacentral:lncRNA from 1 species